rnacentral:tRNA from 1 species
AGGGGUACAGCGCAGUGAUAGAGCGGUAUGCUUAGCAUGCAUGAAGUUUUGGGUUCAAUUCCUAGUACCUCCA